rnacentral:rRNA from 1 species
CCUACGGGAGGCUGCAGUGGGGAAUAUUGGGCAAUGGGCGCAAGCCUGACCCAGCAACGCCGCGUGACGGAAGAAGGCUUUCGGGUUGUAAACUUCUUUUCUGAGGGACGAAGCAAGUGACGGUACCUCCGGAAUAAGCCACGGCUAACUACGUUCCAGCAGCAGCGGUAAUCCUUAGGUGGCAAGCUUUAUCCGGAUUUAUUGGUUGUAAAGGGCGUGUAGGCGGGAAAGCAAGUCAGAGGUGAAAACUCAGGGCUCAACCCUGAGACUGCAUUUGAAACUGUUUGUCUUGAGUGCUGGAGAGGCAAUCGGAAUUCCGGGUGUAGCGGUGAAAUGCGUAGAUAUAAGGAGGAACACCAGUGGCGAAGGCGGAUUGCUGGACAGUAACUGACGCUGAGGCGCGAAAGCGUGGGGAGCAAACAGGAUUAGAUACCCCUGUAGUC